AGUGAACGCUGGCGGUAGGCCUAACACAUGCAAGUCGAACGGCAGCACAGUAAGAGCUUGCUCUUACGGGUGGCGAGUGGCGGACGGGUGAGGAAUACAUCGGAAUCUACUUUUUCGUGGGGGAUAACGUAGGGAAACUUACGCUAAUACCGCAUACGACCUACGGGUGAAAGCAGGGGAUCUUCGGACCUUGCGCGAUUGAAUGAGCCGAUGUCGGAUUAGCUAGUUGGCGGGGUAAAGGCCCACCAAGGCGACGAUCCGUAGCUGGUCUGAGAGGAUGAUCAGCCACACUGGAGCUGAGACACGGUCCAGGCUCCGACGGGAGGCAGCAGCGGGGAAUAUUGGACAAUGGGCGCAAGCCUGAUCCAGCCAUACAGCGUGGGUGAAGAAGGCCUGCGGGUUGUAAAGCCGUUUUGUUGGGAAAGAAAAGCAGCAGGUUAAUACCCCGCUGUUCUGACGGUACCCAAAGAAUAAGCACCGGCUAACUUCGU
rnacentral:rRNA from 1 species